GAGCGGCGAACGGGUGAGUAACACGUGAGUAACCUGCCCUAGGCUUUGGGAUAACCCUCGGAAACGGGGGCUAAUACCGGAUAUUCAUGCUGGACGGCAUCGUCUGGUGUGGAAAGUUUUUCGGCCUGGGAUGGGCUCGCGGCCUAUCAGCUUGUUGGUGGGGUGAUGGCCUACCAAGGCGACGACGGGUAGCCGGCCUGAGAGGGCGACCGGCCACACUGGGACUGAGACACGGCCCAGACUCCUACGGGAGGCAGCAGUGGGGAAUAUUGCACAAUGGGCGGAAGCCUGAUGCAGCGACGCCGCGUGAGGGAUGAAGGCCUUCGGGUUGUAAACCUCUUUCGACAGGGACGAAGCGCGAGUGACGGUACCUGGAGAAGAAGCGCCGGCCAACUACGUGCCAGCAGCCGCGGUAAGACGUAGGGCGCGAGCGUUGUCCGGAUUUAUUGGGCGUAAAGAGCUCGUAGGCNGGCUUGUUGCGUCAGCUGUGAAAACCCGCAGCUCAACUGUGGGCUUGCAGCUGAUACGGGCAGGCUUGAGUUCGGUAGGGGAGACUGGA
rnacentral:rRNA from 1 species